CUUUUUCAAUUUAUGCAAUAUAGAAACUGUACGGAAAGGAGAUGGUUCGGUUUUGCAUGAUAUUUUCCAGCUAUAAAUGGCAUGGUAGACUACUUAGCAGCAAGUAUUUGUAUAAAAUAUGACUGAAAUCUUCUGAAAUAUCUCGGGCUCGAAUCCUUUAAACGAGCAUUGAGAUUCGAGAUAUAUCAACUAAGCUCUCCAUAUAAAGGAAAUAAACAAAUAUGUAUGGUCGAAGCCGAUUAAAAAGCAGGCACACACAAACAUUAAAUUAUACUAUAGGCAAUGUGACUUUAUAACAUAUAUCUCUCUCCACAUAGGUCUAUAUGAUAAUUUAAUUGGAUGGUUAUCCAAAGCACCCAAAUAAUUCUGGGAACUGCGAUGUGUGAUCUGAUUGGCUUAUUGCUCUUUAUUAAUAUGAGAUUUAUAAGUAUAUGAUAAAAUUAGGUGUAUGGGUCCCAUGAUCAGGCUAAAACAGCAUCUGGUGUUUUUUACCACAUUUCAAGACUCUUGUAUGGUCCUUCUUUGUCCUCCCAACCAACCAAAUUGCAUGAAGUGUCCUCCAUUUCAAAAUUGAAAAAACUGGC
rnacentral:sRNA from 1 species